rnacentral:rRNA from 1 species
UACGUAGGGUGCAAGCGUUAAUCGGAAUUACUGGGCGUAAAGCGUGCGCAGGCGGUUAUGUAAGACAGGUGUGAAAUCCCCGGGCUUAACCUGGGAAUGGCAUUUGUGACUGCAUAGCUAGAGUGUGUCAGAGGGGGGUAGAAUUCCACGUGUAGCAGUGAAAUGCGUAGAGAUGUGGAGGAAUACCGAUGGCGAAGGCAGCCCCCUGGGAUAACACUGACGCUCAUGCACGAAAGCGUGGGGAGCAAACAGG